rnacentral:rRNA from 1 species
UACAGAGGUCUCAAGCGUUGUUCGGAUUCAUUGGGCGUAAAGGGUGCGUAGGCGGCGCGGUAAGUCGGGUGUGAAAUCUCGGAGCUUAACUCCGAAACUGCAUUCGAUACUGCCGUGCUUGAGGACUGGAGAGGAGACUGGAAUUUACGAUGUAGCGGUGAAAUGCGUAGAUAUCGUAAGGAAGACCAGUGGCGAAGGCGGGUCUCUGGACAGUUCCUGACGCUGAGAAGCGAAAGCAUGGGGAGCGAACAGG